rnacentral:lncRNA from 1 species
ACGAGGAAGAGGUGGUGGCGGUAGUGAGAUAGAGAGAGGGUGACGUGAAGGUGAAGAGAGAGAGAGGAGAGAGGGAUAGAAGUGAGUGGAUAUUUUUUAUUAUUUUAAAGUGAGGGUUAUUUCCGUCUUUUCAAUCAAAAAGUGGACAGUUUUUAUUAUUUUUAUCUUAGUGAACAAUUUUUAUCUUUACAAUAUGAAAGUGGAUAGUUUU